rnacentral:rRNA from 1 species
UGGGGAAUAUUGGACAAUGGGGGCAACCCUGAUCCAGCCAUGCCGCGUGAGUGAUGAAGGCCUUCGGGUUGUAAAGCUCUUUUGGCGGGGACGAUGAUGACGGUACCCGCAGAAUAAGCCCCGGCUAACUUCGUGCCAGCAGCCGCGGUAAGACGAAGGGGGCUAGCGUUGUUCGGAAUUACUGGGCGUAAAGCGCGUGUAGGCGGUUGCCAAAGUCGGGUGUGAAAGCCUUGAGAUCAACUGAAGAAUAGCACUCGAUACUUGGUGGCUAGAGGACCGGAGAGGAUAGUGGAAUUCCAAGUGUAGUGGUGAAAUACGUAGAGAUUGGGAAGAACACCAGUGGCGAAGGCGGCUAUCUGGACGGUUACUGACGCUAAGACGCGAAAGCGUGGGGAGCAAACA